AGAGAAUAGAUACCCGGGUAGUCCACGCACCGUAAACGAGUGGGUGCUAGGUGGUGGGGGGUGUCGACCUCCCUCCGUGACCGAAAGCUAAACGCAAUUAAGCCACCCCGCCGUGGGGAGUACCGGCCGCAAGGACUAAAACUCAAAGGAAUUGGACGGGGGCCCGCACAAGCAGCGGAGCAUGUGGUUUAAAUUCGACGCAACGCGAAGAACCUUACCUGGCUUGACAUGCGACGGGAAUGUCGUAAGAAAUACGGCAGCCCGUUCGGGGCUCGUGCACAGGUUGUUGCAUGGCUGUCGUCAGCUCGUGUCGUGAGAUGUUGGGUUAACGUCCCGCAACGAGCGCAACCCCUGUCCCAUGUUGCCAGCGUGAAAGACGGGGACUCAUGGGAGACUGCCGGUGACAAAUCGGAGGAAGGUGGGAUGACGUCAAGUCAGCAUGACCCUUAUGCCUAGGGCUACACACGUGCUACAUUGGACCGGUACAAAAGGG
rnacentral:rRNA from 1 species